rnacentral:rRNA from 1 species
AGCGAACGCUGGCGGCAGGCCUAACACAUGCAAGUCGAACGAAAUCUUCGGAGUUUGUGGCGGACGGGUGAGUACCACGUGGGAACGAGCCUUUUGGUUAGGUAUACCUCAGGGAAAGUUGUGCUCAUAACGCAUGUGCUCUUCGGGGGAAAGAUUUUUGGCUAUUAGAGCGGCGCGCGUCUGAUUCGCUAGUUGGUGAUGUAAUGGCUCACCAAGGCGUCGAUCAGUAGCUGGUCUGUGAGCAUGACCAAGCCCGCUUGGCGUGAGGCACGGCCGAGUCUCCGACGCGGGAGAGCAGAAGGGUAUCUUACGCACUGAGCGAAAGCCUAGCGAAGCCAUGCCGCGGGAAUGGUGAAGGGCGUAGUAUUGUGAAAUUCUUUCUCCGGAAGCGAGAAUGACGGUACCCGGUGAAGAAGCCCCGGCUAACUACGUG